CAUAAAGCGAGGUGUCCAGAAAACACCAGUGACCACGUGGCCACACUGUUAACCAUGAAGCCUACACAGUACAGGCCUCUGGAUUCUUACCUCCCAUCUUUACUGAAUUCAUCCUGUGGUACUUGAGGAAGGACAAAGACUGGACUGUCAGAACCACCAAACACCUAACAAGGCAGGAACAAACAGCAUCCACCAGCAUUCCCCAGAGCUAAAGCUUUAGGAAACAAGAGAGACAUCCACUCCUGUGUAAAAUAUAAGGAGCAGCAAAACCUCAGAAAUCCAGAUUAAAUACCAUCUUAGUCCAAUCUU